rnacentral:rRNA from 1 species
AGUGAACGCUGGCGGUAGGCCUAACACAUGCAAGUCGAACGGCAGCACAGUAAGAGCUUGCUCUUACGGGCGUCGCGUGGCGGACGGGUGAGGUCUCCAUCGGAAUCUACUUUUUCGUGGGUGCUAACGUAGGGAAACUUACGCUAAUACAGCAUACGACCUACGGGUGUAAGCCGGGGAUCUUAGGACUUUGCGCGAAUGAAUGAGCCGAUGUCGGAUUAGCUAGUUGGCGGGGUAAAGGCCCACCAAGGCGACGAUCCGUAGCUGGUCUGAGAAGAUGAUCAGCCACACUGUAGCUGAGACAUGGGCGAGACACCUAGGGGAGGCAGCAGUGGGGAAUAUUAGACGAGGGGCGCAAGCCUGGUCCAGCCAAACCGCGUGGGUGAAGAAGACCGUCGGGUUGUAGAACACUUUAGUUCGGAAGGAUAUUCAGCAGGUUAAUAACCCGCAUUUCUGACAGUACCCAAAGAAUAAGCACCGGCUAACUUCGUG